CAGUCAUGUCUGCCGGGACUCAGCCUUGCUUCUGCUUGGUGUACUUUCUGGUUUGACGGGCCAACAUCAAUUUUGACCGUUGGAAAAAGGCCAGAUGAAUGUGGCAUCUUCGGAUGUGUUAUAGCUUCUGGUCGUAUACAUCGGUUGGGAUUGAGGAACUCAGCACGCCGCAAGGUCGGGGUUCGCCCACGUUCGUGCUUAGGAUGCUGGCAUAAUGGCUUUAAUCGACCCGUCUUGAAACACGGACCAAGGAGUCUAACAUAUAUG
rnacentral:rRNA from 1 species